UACGUAGGUGGCAAGCGUUACUCGGAAUCACUAGGCGUAAAGCGCAGGUAGGCGGUUCGGUAAGUCUUUUGUGAAAGCUCCUGGCUCAACUGGGAGAGGUCAAAGGAAACUGCCGGGCUAGAGUUUGGUAGGGGGAGACUGGAAUUCCUGGAUGUAGCGGGUGAAAUGACGUAGAUAUCAGGAGGAAUACCCUAUGGCGAAAGCAGGUCUCUGGGCCACAACUGACGCUGAGCUGCGAAAGCUAGGGGAGCAAACAGG
rnacentral:rRNA from 1 species